rnacentral:lncRNA from 1 species
GUCUGGACGCCCCGGAAGAACAUCCUGAGAUGCUCUUUCUUCCUCUCUUUUUCCGCUGCAGGAAAGACAGAAAAAUAUCUAAAUAUCAGCGAGCCGGGUCUUUCUGGCCGUUCCUGCUCCGGUAUGAAGCUGUUUGCUGCGAGCGAAGAACGCUCAGGGCCGGAACCGCCAAGGAGCCAAGGAGUUGAGGGGCGGAGCCGAAGGAAAGGACCUCGCAGCAAUGUAUUGUAGCUGGGCUACUCCCAUCAGGACCUGGCCCUAACCUCAGGACACAGCUCCACCAGUCUCUUUGCCCUCCCCUCCUCUGUCGUUUCCAAUGGCAUCCUCUUCACCCUGCUGCUUUUGACAGCCUACCCCUAAAAGAUUCUUCUCUUUGGGUGAUGGGAAUUAAACACAGGGCUUUAUGAAAGUAAAGCCUUGCUUUCCUCCCCAAUUACCCUUUGUCAGCGAUUCCUCUAGGCUCCGCCCAACAGCUCCUAGCAACAGUUUGCAUAGUCACCUGCCAGGCAUGAGGGAGCUGUUUUGUGCUUCUCUCCCCCCCCCCCCGCUCCCCCGCCCCGUUAGAUGACGGACCAUUUAAGCAUAAGAGCAUUUUUUUUCAUUCCUCCUUCUCCUUAUUUUUAAUCAUAAUGUUAACUCGGAUGGGAAUUUAAGAAGAUAAUUAAGAAUAUUUAAAGUGCUCUGCUAGGAGACGUGGUAAGUCAUUACAAUGGCCAAUUACAAUGGGACUAGCAAUAGUCCCAGGACUUCCCUCAAGCCUCCUCCUCUUUAUAUCCUUCUCUGCCUCUACCCCCUUUCCAGGUCCCCUUCACUUCACUCAAUAAACUUCUUUUUGUACUAGA